rfam:Ciona savignyi cont_29181, whole genome shotgun sequence.
UCUGGGUUGGCCGAGUGGUUAAGGCGUUGGACUUAAGUUCCAAUGGACAAGUGUCCGCGUGGGUUCGAACCCCACACCCAG